AUGGGUUUUAGUAGAAUAAUUUAAUACUUUCAUUGUACAAAUUAAAAAACUUUGUUAGUUAUCACAUACAUUCAAUUAGGAUAAUCAUAACAUAAAAACAAGUACAGACCACCCGAGUCUAGAUUAUCAAGAACAAGAAAGCAUUAUAUGUCUGGUUUUGUACCCCCAUCAACUUAAGAUUCUCUUGAACAUAGGCAACACACAAGUUUACACAUACAUAGCAUAAGAGAUCCAAGUACUUCAAGAAAGCAUAGGAUCGGAUAAAUCGGAAAAUACAUCAUCGUUUUUUGAAACCAUAUUUCUUACGUUCAUAGAAGAGAUCGGUCUUGGCACUCCCAAGGUUGACGAUCUUGGGGCAACCAUCUCUGUCUUUCUCCUGCUGCGUACACUCUUUGCAGUAGUAAGCAUCCGAGAUCCCAACACCUCCGCAGAUAACACAGCGGCCUUGGAAUGACCCGUAGUUGCAUUCGUCACAGAUACGCACCAGAGUGCAGGGACGCACAUAAGAAUCACAAACCACGCAUUUGCCGUCGCAUUUCUCGCACAGUAAUAAUUGUAAUAAUUUAGUUGUGGGUUUCUGUAGUGAUUUAAAAUGAAAGGUCAAUGAAGUUCACAUGAACUAAUUAGUGUGUUAUUCUUUUGUUAUUUGUAUGGGUUCAUCAUGUGUUAUUCUUUUGUUAAUCAGAGUAUGUAUGCAUAUCUAGGGAUAAUUGGUAUCAUGUAAAUACGAAGGAUAAAUAUACAUACAAUUAUUUAUUUUGCUUGUGUAAUUGAGAUUUUCUUGUUUUCUUUAUUAAAAAGGUAAAAACUGUUAAGGCUUUCUUCUUCUCCUGGUGAUAUAUUUGAACAUACUCUUAAGAUAUACACAGAUUUACAGAUAUAGAUCAUGUGACUACCACCACAUAUCACCGAUCAGUGAUCCAAUAAUUGUGGUUGUAAAAUAUUUGAUUCUGAGAUCUCAUCCAAUAACACAUAAAAUAGUAAACUAGAUUAGUUUUAACGUUAAACAAAGAUGAUAUAUGUAGUUAUUAGUGAAGAAAUCCUUAUGAGUUGUUAACAGGAUAUGGAUUAUGAAGAACUUGUUAGCUUAUAUAUAGUGCUUGGAUAUUAGAUAACCAAUACAUAUUACCAUACAAAAAGCUAGUAAACACUUGAAACUAAUAGAGAAACGAAGGGAGGGAAGAAGAGUAUACCUGGAAAUGAAAGACUGAGGCGAGCAGAAGAAGAGACGAAAGCAAAUGUGAAGAAGAGUAACAAACAUAACACAACCGAGGAAGAUGAUGCAUAACCCAUUCUCUCUAUAUAUAUAUUUCUCUCUCUCCUCCCUUCUUCUAUAUAUAUAGACCACAAAAUGUCUCAUACCGGCCCUUCGUUUUCAGCCUUUCUCACUAUUUAAUCAUUUUGAUUUUUAUUAAUAUACCCGCUUCCAAACGUUUAGUUUUUACAUAAUUGCGUUUGAAAGGAACAUAUUCUCUAUAAUCUAAUGGUUUUGUAUUCAAUGCGUGUAUAUGCAUGUGUUUGUUGUUGACAAGCACAAAAACAAGGGAACAUGAUUGCAUUUACAUACGGUAGGUUUGACAAGACUGAAGUGGGAUCCCUUUAAACCAUCAACGAAUUAAAAUUCAUUUUUUCAUUGUAUUGGUUACAACAGAACUCAAAUGCCAGCUUAAAAUCCAACCCAUUGCUAUUUUUGAUUUUAUAAUAGCUUUAGAGGCACAAUGAUUCCAAAUCCAUUACUAUUUCUUAUUCUAAAAUAGAAAUUACUAUUUUUUGCCAAAAAAAAAAUAGAAAUUAUUAUUUUGUCCUCUAUUUAUAGAGGAAGAAAUAACAGUCUCUAUUUUUACUCUAUAUUUUGAAGAUUGCUAUUAUAAAGAAAUACAUUAGAGUAAACUUCACCUUUUUAUAAAGAUUUUCUAUUUUAGAGGCAAAAAUAGCAAAAUACAUUGGUUUUAGUAAUGGGUUUUAGUAGAAUAAUUUAAUACUUUCAUUGUACAAAUUAAAAAACUUUGUUAGUUAUCACAUACAUUCAAUUAGGAUAAUCAUAACAUAAAAACAAGUACAGACCACCCGAGUCUAGAUUAUCAAGAACAAGAAAGCAUUAUAUGUCUGGUUUUGUACCCCCAUCAACUUAAGAUUCUCUUGAACAUAGGCAACACACAAGUUUACACAUACAUAGCAUAAGAGAUCCAAGUACUUCAAGAAAGCAUAGGAUCGGAUAAAUCGGAAAAUACAUCAUCGUUUUUUGAAACCAUAUUUCUUACGUUCAUAGAAGAGAUCGGUCUUGGCACUCCCAAGGUUGACGAUCUUGGGGCAACCAUCUCUGUCUUUCUCCUGCUGCGUACACUCUUUGCAGUAGUAAGCAUCCGAGAUCCCAACACCUCCGCAGAUAACACAGCGGCCUUGGAAUGACCCGUAGUUGCAUUCGUCACA
rnacentral:lncRNA from 1 species